GAACAGAAGAUUUGUGGCCUGAGGGUCUCGGAAUAGCUCACGGCAUUUAUAUACAUGAAAGACAAGCAGCUGCAUUAGUCAUGUAAGUGAAUGAAAGGAAUCGGGGACGGAUGGCUCGGAGGAGGAUUAAGUAUGAUCGAAACACUGACCAGUCGUUCAUCUUUCAUGCGGUUGUGAACAACAACAAGAACAACAACAAGACACCCCUCCAGAGACCAGAGACUGAGACACUGCACCAACUGGAGAUACUUUAGAGGGAGAAGAGAGAAAUAAGAAACUGCAGGUAUUUUAGGAUUUCAGCAGUGGCCUUGAGCCAAGUGUCUGGACACGCGGAGUGUGUGAGAAGCUCAUGACCCUCCACCUCCCCAAAGACUUCCUCAUCCCAGCUAACAAAACAAGCAUCAAUAAUGUAUUCUAGUGCUUCUGCUGUGACCGAAAUCCUGAGUGACCAGUGGGUUUCUCCUCUCACACACACACACACACACACAUUGUAAAAGCUAUGUAUUAAAUGCAUGCUGAUGCUGCGGUCUUUUGAACUAAAUAAUGAAAUAAAUAAAGUGCUUGCAUUUUGCUGUGAUAUAAAUAACAUAAGCAGAUCCUCUUUCACCUAAUUUCCCUUAAAUCUCUCUCUGCCUCGGGGAAAUGAAGAACUCUUCAUUUUAAAGGAAUAAACCCUCAUGGUGUCACACUGUUAUAUAAAAAUAAUGAACGGCGGGGUUCCAGGAGUGACGUGUCCAUCAGGCUGAUGUGCGUCUCCAGCUGAUGUUACUGCAGUGACGCCACAGUGUGAGGAGAGAAAAAUGGCGCUGACUGAAGGUUAAACAAUUUCUCUAUCUAUCUAUCUAUCUAUCUAUCUAUCUAUCUAUCUAUCUAUCUAUCUAUCUAUCUAUCUAUCUAUCUAUCUGUCUGUCAGUCUCUUUCUUUCUUUCUUUCUUUCUUUCUUUCUUUCUUUCUUUCUUUCUUUCUUUCUUUCUUUCUUUCUUUCUUUCUAUCUAUCUAUCUAUCUAUCUAUCUAUCUAUCCAUCCAUUCGAGGCAGAAAGUCAGUGUGCAUGAAUCUAAUCCACUCCACAGGAAACGCUUUUCUGUAAAGUGUCAAAAGGAAACACAGCCACAACCCCCUCCAACACACACACACACACAUACUCUCUCUCUCUCUCUCUCUCUCUCUCUCUCUCUCUCUCUCUCUGUCUGUAUGCAAUAACGGCAUAAACAGCAUCAUUAUGUUGUUGUUUUUUUUCCCUAAUCUUGUUGUGUACACAGUAUUUACAGCCAUUAAGGAGAAUAAUAACAAUAACUGAAUCCUCAGAAGGACGACUGCUUUAUUACACUGCAAAUAAAAUACAGGUAAAAGAGCGUGUCAUUAUGGGCUACACGUGCUUUACACGCACAAUAAAACACUCAACUUCACACAAAAUAACAAGAUUUCAGAAACUCGGAGCAGAUGAAGGCUUUCCAGAAAGCUGCUCCUGCUUCCUCACUCCCAUCUGACAGACAGGGGGGAAAAGUCACAUACCAUCAAUCUUCUCCUUACAGAAAACUCACGUGGGGGGAUCACACGUGGGUGCUUUCAACGUGACUGAUCAUGUACACUUUUCACUUUCGGCGCAUGUUUUCAUUUUCAUCUGAUUCAAUUUUUCACAUUUGAUUCAUUUAUUCACGUGUCAUUUUUUCAAUUAAUUCAUUUUCUGUAAG